rnacentral:sRNA from 1 species
AGUAGCUCAUUCACACUCGUAUCAUUCUGAUUAUCAGAAUUUACACUUAGAAUGAAGCCCACAAUAUGGUGCCUAUCGUCAAACAUCGGAUAUCAACCUUAAUAGGCUUAUCCACUUAAAGACGUAACGUUGAGUGAGGCACCUCCAA